rnacentral:rRNA from 1 species
CAAUAGCGUAUAUUAAAGCUGUUGCGGUUAAAAAGCUCGUAGUUGGAUUUCUGUCAAGUACAACUGGUCCGCCCUCCGGGUGAGCACAUAGUUUGGUCUUGGCAUCUUGCUGGAAAUUGUUGCUGCACUUGGCUGUGUGGCACAGUGUCCAGCACUUUCACUUUGAGGAAAUUGGAGUGUUUCAAGCAGGCAAUGCCUUUGAACACAGUAGCAUGGAAUAAUUAGAUUGGGCUUUUGCUCCAAUUUGUCGGUUUCUGGAGCUGAGGUGAGAAUUAAUGGGGAUUGUUGGGGGCAUCCGAAUUUAGCCGUCAGAGGUGAAAUUCUUGGAUCGGCUAAAGACGGACAACUGCGAAAGCGUUUACCCAGGAUGUUUUCAUUGA